UCAUUUUAUGAUGUAGUUUGAUUCUGGCUUUAAUAUUAAUUAUUAAGAGUUUAUACAUGUGAUUUUUUGAUUUAUUAAUUAAGUUGAUCUUAUCUUUUUGCAGUAUUUAAAUUUGAAUAUUAAGUUAUUUUAGAUUUAGAUAUUUUAUAUAUUGUUGUAAAUGUUUGUGCCAGCAUACGCGGUUAUACAAUAAAUGUUAUUUAAUAUUUUUGGUUAAAUUGAAGUUUAAAAUUUUUUUUUUGAUGUUAAUUUUUAAUUUUUUGGGUGAAAUAGUUAAAAUUUAAAUAAGUUUAAUUUGAUUCUUUGAAAAUUAAAAUUUAAACUAGGAUUAGAUACCCUAUUAUUUUAUUUGUUAAUGAUUUACCUGGGUAAUAAUAGUUAUUUUCUUUAAACCUAAAGAAUUUGGCGGUAAUUUAGUCUAUUCAGAGGAAUUUGCCCCGUGAUCGAUAAUCCCCGUUUUAUCUUGCUUUAUUUUGUAUUAUCAGUAUGUAUACCGCCGUUAUAAGUUUAUUUUAUUAGAGAUUUUAAUUUACUUAAUAUAUUAUUAUAUUUUAUUUCAGGUCAAGGUGCAGUUUAUAAUGAAGUGGUGGUGAAUUACAAUAUUAUUUGAAUAAACGGAUUUAUUAUUUAAAUAUUUUAUUUAAGGUGGAUUUGAAUGUAAUAUUUUUAAUUUUAUUAAUUUGAUUUUAGCUCUAAAUUAAGACAUAUCGCCCGUCACUCUCAAUUAAUUGAGAUAAGUCGUAACAAAGUAGGCGUACUGGAAAGUGUGCCUAGGAUAAUA
rnacentral:ncRNA from 1 species